AUUGAACGCUGGCGGCAUGCUUUACACAUGCAAGUCGAACGGCAGCGCGGGCUUCGGCCUGGCGGCGAGUGGCGAACGGGUGAGUAAUACAUCGGAACGUGCCCAGUCGUGGGGGAUAGCUCGGCGAAAGCCGGAUUAAUACCGCAUACGACCUGAGGGUGAAAGCGGGGGAUCUUCGGACCUCGCGCUAUUGGAGCGGCCGAUGGCCGAUUAGCUAGUUGGUGGGGUAAAGGCCUACCAAGGCGACGAUCUGUAGCUGGUCUGAGAGGACGACCAGCCACACUGGGACUGAGACACGGCCCAGACUCCUACGGGAGGCAGCAGUGGGGAAUUUUGGACAAUGGGCGAAAGCCUGAUCCAGCAAUGCCGCGUGUGGGAUGAAGGCCUUCGGGUUGUAAAGCACUUUUGGCGGGAACGAAAAGGACUGUGCCAAUACCACGGUUCGAUGACGGUACCCGCAGAAUAAGCACCGGCUAACUACGUG
rnacentral:rRNA from 1 species